CGCUGUGACCGGUGGCAGGAGAGCAUGGGCUUCUGUGUGGAAGAGCCUCGAGUCAGCACCUUUCAUCCACAGAAACAGAAGAGCCUCUGUUGUCGAACUGGCAGAGCAUUAAUCUCAUAGUUAAAAUAUUACUGGGCUCUAUCCUUCCGCAGUGCAAGGGGCAAUGGGCUCAGCAGGUCAACUGGCUAGUACCUGACAGCAACUAAAGGGACCCAGUCGAGGCCCAGAAUUUGACCUGUGCCUCCUUGGUUAGAUCCUUUUCCACACUCAUAUCAUUCUUUCACUGCCCUUAUUCAUGCUUCAGUGUGUUUUGUGGUAAACAGAACAAAGUAAAAACCCUGCAGAGAAGGAAGCCCAGGCUGAAGCUCGGUAUGUUCAGUACAGGCUUCAUCAGCUGUCCUGCAGCAACACAGGGGUGCACAGGGCAGCCUCGGCAUCCCUGGCUGGGAAGUGAAAGUCAAGCCCUUAGAACAGCGCAAAACACAGUGCCUAAAUUUCAGGAGUCCCUACUGGGGAAGACAGUGGUGCCAGCUGUGAGAGACAAAUAAAACAACUAGUUGAGGAGUCACAAAUUCAGGGCAGACGCCCAGGCAACACCCCGCCUUCUUCUCGUAAGAGGCAUAUAGCCAACACCCAUGGCACUAGUAAUCAGAGUCCUGGGGGCUUGUUUGCUGCUGGCAUUGCCACUGUGCCUACCCUAGCCACAGAUCUCUGCUCCCAGACCUAAGCCACCAACACUGCAAGUUAUCAUUUUGCUGGCCAAAAGCUCUCUAAAUCAGAACAGGGAACAAUCCUUGCUAAAUCUACAGGUUCCAGCUCAGUGAUAUGUGCUACACCCAUUCAUCUAAAUGCAGAAUUAGCUCUGAAACUAAUGAUAAGGCUUUAAAUGCCAUCACACAGCCAAUUUAUUUCCUCACUGUCCCAAAGUGCUUCCCAGGUGCUGAAAAGCUUAGCUGCCAAGAUCUCCAUAGCCUCUGCUGACAACCUCAGAGAGACAGCUCUGCAUUGCAUCAUCUUUCCUAUGCGUGCAGGCCCCAAGUGCUUUCAACCAUCAACAUGCUCAGCCACAGAGCCCCCUGCAGUGGUGGUGUGGCCGUUCUCCCCCUGCCAUAGCCAAGGAGUCAUGAGGAGGCCCAGCAAGACGUGACUUCUCCCUGCUGACAGGGGAAGUGGGCGCCAGAGCAACACCAUCAGGUGAUGCCUCCCGUCUUCCAUGAGUGUCUUCCCACCUCAGAGCAAUGUGCUUUGCCUUGAUGUUGGUGGAGUUACACAAGCGCAAGCUAGGCGUGAGCUCACACUACAACACAUUGGUUGUGCUGAAGAUACAAGGUCAUCCCACCCUUGGGAAGAAGAGAGAGGACACAGGUGUAUAUAUGCACACAUGAGCACACCUCCGUGGCUGUGUAUAAACACACGUGUCCACACAGAGCUUCCACUUGGAGCUGUGCCCUGCGUGGCAAAUACCUGUUCAGGCAGAAAAACAUCACUGCCCCAGUUCCUGCAACAGAAUCAUUUUUGGUUUUCUUUCAGGUUCUGGAGUUACUUCUGGUUUGCAAAAAUAGCACCGCUCGAGACAGCCUUCCUGAUAGGUGGAAUAGUUUCCCCUUGAGAAGAAACUGGUGGAAAUCCCCUCUCCUGAGACAUUUUUAACUUUGCCAGAAAAUGUACAAUGGGAGUGACUGCUUUAACUAGUGAGCUGACUGGGAUGAGCUAAUGGGUUUUUCCAUCUCUGGUGUCUAGUUCCAGGGAUUUCCAUGAAUCGCUGUCAGGACAGAAGAAGGCAACAGAUUGCAACUGUGGGAUCUGCUGUUUCAGCUCCACUGACACGUCAUUCCCUCAGGACACCCAGUGACCUGGUUAAUCUAGUUCUUUGCUUCUGACUUCUCCUCGUAAAUGAUUUAUCAACUGGCGUGGAUCCCUGUUUGCUUAAGGAGGCGUGUGACGACCUCUAGCAGACUGGCUGCACAAAGCUACAGCCUGCAUUUGGCACCCGGCUGCUGGUCCCAGCUCGUGACCCUUGGCACAGGGAGCAGAAGGACGGGGCUCCAGCAGAGCCCAGUGGCAAGGGCUGAGGCAGGGAACUGUGGGUAGUGUUUACAUGGCUCUGUGGAGAGCCCUGGUGACUAAGCCAUCAGCUCUUCAGCGAGGGCGCUUGCAGGCCUGCCUUGGCCUGUCCUAACCCCCACAACACAGAGUCCUGACUGGGCAGCCGGAUGCUGUGUUCACUGUAUACAGGCUCUAGGGUACGGGUCAUGGGAAGUAUCAGCUGUGCCAGAGCCAGCCUUGGGGUCUGUGUGCUCCAGAAGGAAAAAUAACUUGAACAUCCACCACCUUAUCCAUCCUCACAAAGUAGCAUCAGUGGCAAUGACACCAGUGUCAGCACCAGGCGCAGCUCUGGAGGCCUUCAUCAUGUGCACACAUAGGUCAAUACAUGUGUCGCCACACACAAAACACUGCAGCUAAAAAGAAGAUGGUGCAGAUCUAAACUCAGGCACUCAAGCCAGGGAGGUGAGGGAUGAUCCUGCAAGCUUUACAUCCUGCCUUCGAAUGUGAGGCUAAAGGAGUGUGGAGAGAGAUCAGAUAUCACAAACUGGGCACCCUCCUAAAAAAUUGUCUAUGGGCAACUCCCUGCCUUCCCUCCAGGCCAGUUAUUGCUGCUUCCUGCUCUGAUUGUUUCAAAUCCAGUUAUCUUGAGUUAUGCCUGUUCUGGCAAAUACAGUGCAGCAGAGGGGAGGUCCCGCUCUUGUCGAUGUUGUAUGCAUGCCACAGAUCACAGAGAUUAGCAUGGGAGGAAUAACUCAGAUGAUCUGCUUGAGGCAGGUAUUGGGAAGCUUACAACAGAGCUGUGUAACCAUUAGAAAUAUAAAACUGUUUAACAGAAUCUCCAUUUUGGAAGAUGCAGAGCCGUGCUGAAUUUCCAGAUGGCUGGAGACUGUUUCACAGUGGCAGCACUCGGCAAAAAAGGAAGCUGAGGAAGCCCGCUCCAGCACCGGCCCAGACAGCCCUGCUCCCAGAAGCACGGUGUCACACCACCCAAGGGCUGCACCAUCAGGCAGGGCUGGCUUAGGCUGCGGCAAGGAACCUGCAGCCACAUGUAGGCAGAGGCAUGGGUUGUGUUUUCCUCUCACAUAAGGGUGGAUCUGGAGCAGCUUUCAGUUUCCUGGGACCUGAGAGGUGGUUUUGUUCAUAUCCCAAGAGGACUGAAGGUACAACUUCUCCUUCCUUUUCUGGGGGCACACCACAACCUUCCUUUCCUUGUGCCUCAACAGGACCUCUGUGUUCAUGCAACACAAGCUCCCACUCCACACACUGUACAGCACACCAACAUCACAGAACAGCAGACAGCUGGUGGGAUGUGUGAGUGGUAAUCCCACCUGGCCAGGAGCAGCUACUAUAACCUGCCUCUGAGAAGACCAUGAUCUGACAACUGCCCAUAACAUGAGAAGUGCAUUCCUGAGCGCCUCAGCUUUGCUGGCCCUGAUGAUCGACCAACUCAGCCCUGCUCCACUUCAAGGCUCAUCACUCGUACUGGGCACUGGCAUAACAGAAUUACACACUGAGGGAAUGUUCUUCCUAUCUUAUUGUCAUGUCCCCAAAUAUCAAUUAAAAAAUGUCACAUUUGUGUACCUUGUGGAUGU